AUCAGGUUUUCCUUUUCCCUGAAAAAUGAUGUCUCAGUGUCUCUCCAGAAGCAUCCAUGCACAUUUUUAGGAGGCAGAGGAGAUCCUGGAUGUGGUAGGCUUGUCAUACAAGUGCUUGGGGAUGGCUGGGUACAGUUUAUCUUAAAGUGAAGGAAGUAAGAAAUGGACUUCCAAUGCUUAAAAUCACAAGGGCUUUUGUCACAACAAACCCCGGGAGCUGCUUGUGCUGAAAGCACAUUCCCCGCCUUGGUUUCCCCCUCAGCCUGAGCCCUCACGGGAGCUGUCAUUGAUGGUCCAUCCCUGCAGACCCUCAGUGCCCCUCAGCCUUCCCCAGAUGCCCAGUGCUGCCUGUGGGACAUUCCCAAAAGCAGCUGAAAGAUGCUCUAAGUCUCCUGCUCCUCUCUUUUCAGGUACUGAUGGGGAAUGGCAGCAGAGGAAUGUGCCAGCCUUAAUAACUUGGCUUCUGGGCACAGCAUAUCCAUCCGAAACUGAGAGAUUACAGGGGAAAAGUGGGGGGAAAACACCAUUAUUGCCUUCUGAUGUUUGCAGAGUUACAACUGAGAAUCCAACAUUUCUUAAUAUCAAGAAGGAGGUUUAAUGCAAAGGAAACAUAAAGUAAAAUUAAAAAGGAGUACAGAGGAGGAAAAGAGAAGGUCUUGUGAUCCAGAGUUCAGCUUUCCCAGUCUGAGCAGUUGUGCUGUGUAGUGUCCAGUAUAAAAUCAGGUGCACCCAGGGGCUCUAUCCCAGGGCAGAUGUGCAGAAGAGACCAUAA